rnacentral:rRNA from 1 species
UACGGGGGGGGCAAGCGUUGUUCGGAAUUACUGGGCGUAAAGCGCGUGUAGGCGGCCAGAUAGGUCUGCUGUGAAAACUCGAGGCUCAACCUCGAGCUGUCGGCGGAAACCAUCUGGCUAGAGUCCGGAAGAGGAGAGUGGAAUUCCUGGUGUAGCGGUGAAAUGCGCAGAUAUCAGGAAGAACACCUAUGGCGAAGGCAGCUCUCUGGGACGGUACUGACGCUGAGGAGCGAAAGCGUGGGGAGCGAACAGG